rnacentral:tRNA from 1 species
GGAGAGAUGGCUGAGUUGGUCGAAAGCGCUCGACUCGAAAUCGAGUAGGCGGUUCCCGCCUCCUGGGUUCGAAUCCCAGUCUCUCCGCCA